UGAUUUUUUGUUCAAAUGACCCUUCCAAUGUCUUUUAUAGUCAUCAGAGCAGCAGACUAACUUACACUUUAAGUUAAUAUGACUUCCAAAAUAUUUGAAUCGAACAAGUGGAAAAUAUAGUAGAUAAAGAUUGGGCCAAAAGACGAUAUAUAUCAAAUCUAUUAAGGUAAUGAAUUUGUUAAGUGUACAGGUGGAGGAACAAGUUUUGCAAGAAAUGGAAAUAGUUAACGUAAUGGAUUGUGUCUGAUUUGCAAUCGAUCGAUGACAUGAAAGAGAGUAAUCAGAGUUGAUCAGAAGAAGCUUAUGUGUUUAUUGUCAUUAUAUGGUCGUGGGAUUCAUGAAUCUGUAAAUAGAGUUCUUUACCCGUUUGUCCCCUGGAGGCAUCAGCUAUAGGAUCGUAAAGUCAGGGUUUAACACAGAGUUAGGGGAGCUGCUCGAGCAAACUGUUAUGCUCUUUAAUGGCGGUUGGUACUUGUUUGUUGAGUAAACAAAUAAUUGGAAUCAAACCUUUUCAGGCAAUCUAUUCUCUCUAUAUAUAAGCAAUUUAGCGAUGGUUGUUAAUUUUUUCUUGCUUACAAAUACAGAAGUGGGUUUCUUCUCUAUUAAUGGAUGUGUGCUUUGGUCUUCUCUUCUGCCUGCCAGGUGCUCGAUGAAAUGCCUGUGGCUUAUUGUUGUUUGUUUUUCCAUGUUUCCAAUUAGAAUACAAGAGUGUGAUGGAUCUAUCUGAAAAACCUGUUAGAUAUAGUGAAUCCAGGUCAGAUGUACUAUUGCAAAUUGUUAUGUGAUUUGCAAUGGCUUCUUAAGCCAUAUUUAGAGAAGGUAUACACAUUGAAAAUAUGUACAAAUUUGCUAUGAUGAGCAAGGAGUGCUUGAAUAUAGGACAAGAAGAAGAGAAAGCCAACAUAUGUAUUUAUAAUAUAGGAAAGUGGGUAAUGCUUGAUUA